UAAUACGGAGGGUCCAAGCGUUGUCCGGAUUUAUUGGGUGUAAAGGGUGUGUAGGCGGGCUUGUAAGUCAGAGGUGAAAUCCUACGGCUCAACCGUAGAACUGCCUUUGAUACUGCAGGUCUUGAGUCCUGGAGAGGUUGUUAGAAUUCGUGGUGUAGCGGUGAAAUGCGUAGAUAUCACGAGGAAUACCGGUUACGAAGGUUGACAGCUGGACAGGUACUGACGCUGAGGCACGAAAGCGUGGGGAGCAAACAGGAUUAGAUACCCUGGUAGUCCACGCCGUAAACGAUGAUCACUCGGUGUCGCGGAGUAAUCUGCGGUGCCUAAGCUAACGCAUUAAGUGAUCCACCUGGGGAGUACGAUCGCAAGGUUG
rnacentral:rRNA from 1 species